rnacentral:rRNA from 1 species
UACGAAGGGGGCGAGCGUUGUUCGGAAUUACUGGGCGUAAAGGGUAGGUAGGUGGUCUCAUUUGUCUGGGGUGAAAGCCUUGAGCUUAACUCAAGAAGUGCCCCAGAAACGGUGAGACUGGAGUCCUGGAGAGGGUCGUGGAAUUCCCGGUGUAGCGGUGAAAUGCGUAGAGAUCGGGAGGAACACCAGAGGCGAAAGCGGCGACCUGGACAGGUACUGACACUCAACUACGAAAGCGUGGGGAGCAAACAGG